GAUGAAGAACGUAGCGAAAUGCGAUACGUAAUGUGAAUUGCAGAAUUCAGUGAAUCAUCGAAUCUUUGAACGCAUAUUGCGCUCUCUGGUAUUCCGGAGAGCAUGCUUGUUUGAGUAUCAGUAAACACCUCAACUUCCAUAUCUUUUUUGAAAUGGGAGUUGGACUUGAGUGAUCCCAACGCUUUUCCUCACCGAAAAGUGGCGGGUUACUUGAAAUGCAGGUGCAGCUGGACUUUUCUCUGAGCUAUACGCAUAUCUAUUUAGUCUGCCUAAAAAACAGAUUAUUACCUUUGCUGCAGCUAACAUAAAGGAGAUUAGUUCUUGUGCUGACUGAUGCAGGAUUCACAAAGACAGCUUCGGCCGACUUUGUAAACUCGAUCUCAAAUCAAGUAAGACUACCCGCUGAACUUAAGCAUAUCAAUAAGCGGAGGA
rnacentral:misc_RNA from 1 species